CUAUACAUGCAAGUCGAGGGAGAAGUUUUGUGCUUGCACAGAACAGAAACCGGCGAACGGGUGCGUAACACGUAUGCAACCUACCUAUAACUGGGGGAUAGCCCGAAGAAAUUCGGAUUAAUACCCUAUAAUAUUUACAUACCGCAUGGUAUGUAUUUUAAAACUCCGGUGGUUAUAGAUGGGCAUGCGGCUUAUUAGUUUGUUGGUGAGGUAACGGCUCACCAAGACUACGAUAAGUAGGGGGUCUGAGAGGAUGAUCCCCCACACUGGUACUGAGACACGGACCAGACUCCUACGGGAGGCAGCAGUAGGGAAUAUUGGACAAUGGACGAAAGUCUGAUCCAGCCAUGCCGCGUGCAGGAUGACGGCCCUAUGGGUUGUAAACUGCUUUUAUAUAGGAAGAAACCUUUCCACGUGUGGAAAGCUGACGGUACUAUACGAAUAAGGACCGGCUAACUCCGUGCCAGCAGCCGCGGUAAUACGGAGGGUCCAAGCGUUGUCCGGAUUUAUUGGGUUUAAAGGGUACGCAGGCGGGACUUUAAGUCAGUGGUGAAAGCCUCCAGCUUAACUGGAGAAUUGCCAUUGAAACUGAAGUUCUUAAGUAUGGAUGAGGUGGUUGGAAUAUAACAUGUAGCGGUGAAAUGCAUAGAUAUGUUAUAGAACACCAAUUGCGAAGGCAGAUCACUAAACCAUUACUGACGCUGAGGUACGAAAGCGUGGGGAGCGAACAGGAUU
rnacentral:rRNA from 1 species